rnacentral:lncRNA from 1 species
GUCAGUGAGGACUUUCUUUCCCUCCCAUUCAACUGACCUCAUUAUAUAUGAUGCAGCAGAACUUCAAAUCAAACUAUCAUGGUGAGGAGAAAGUGAGAAAUUAUAAGACCAAAGGUAACAGUGGAACCACUCUGGGAAAGAAGGCAAAACCGGAAGCAUGUGAAUCAGGAAGAGGAUAUGGCAUUUGUUUCUGGUCUGAGAGGGGAAGGAGGGCUGCAGAGAGCAUUCAGAGCUACAAGGUUCUGGAAAGCCUGCUGGCCAGGGAGCAGAGGUCAUAUUUACGAAAUGAAUGGAUAAGCCUUUGCAAGCCGGGUGUGGAGGUGCACAUGUGUAAUACCAUCACUCAGGAUGCUGAGGCAAGAGGAUUACUGUGAGUUCAAGACCAGCCUGGACUACACGGUGAGAUCAAGGCCAGCCUGAACUACAUAGAGAAACCCUGUCUCAAACAAGCAAACAAUGAAAAAUCCUUUUGCAAAACAAA